UUACGCAGCUACUGGUCUGCAGCUGUGUUUUUAUGGUAGCAGUUGUGGCAUACCUCUGUGGGAAAGAAACUGUUACAUGGUUAGACACCUCUUUCCUAGCAAAAUAGAAGUGGGCAUAUGUGUGACAACAGAA
rnacentral:snoRNA from 1 species